AUGGCCUCCAGCUCAGGGCUGUCCAUGUGAGAAGUGAAUCUGAGAAGAGAAGAGCAGACACUUGAAGAGAGAGAAGAGUUUCCCACAGAGCAUGGCCUCUACCAAAGAAGAUGGUGUGGAUGAAAUAACUGUGGACAUUAAAGAAGAGGACUAUGAGUGGCUUACACCAGAGGAUGUGUGUGUGAAGCUGGAGGAUCACGAAGAAAGAAUUUCAGUUUUCAAAGAAGAGGAGUACAACGGGGUGACUGCCGCCAUUAAAGCUGAGGAUUUUAAUGAUUUCUCCAUUGGUCUUGAACUUCAAAAGCAUGAAACUGAGGAUAUUUUCAAGCAAGAGGCCUGUGAAGAAUCUCCAUCCAGUUUACAGCCCUGGUCCACUAAUACGGGACGACUGGCUACACAGGAAAAUUUUGCAGAGCUGAAAUCAGAGUUAUCAGAGUCUGAAGAGAAAAUCACCGAAGGAAAUGGGAGAGAAGGAGAAGAGUCACCUGGGAGUGUUGGAAUAAAUUUACAGAAGAAUGGCUGCAUCUAUCCACCUUUAUUUGGUCAGCCCACUCCUCAAUGCAAAGAGGAAAGUAUGAAGAAAUCAGCAAGAGGAUCAGAGAACCUGACAGCAGCCUUUUUGCAGUGCAGUUCUCUCCCUGCUGCUGGAGUAACACAGACAGAAGCCAUCAAAACUGAUCGACAGCAAGUGGAGAAAGAAAUCCAAAUUCACACUGUUAAAAAAUGCUUUUUGGAAUGUGACAAACAAUUCACACACACAAGUGAUCUUAAUAAGUAUAUCAAGAUUCACACAGGAGAAAAACCUCAUUACUGUUCAGAAUGUGGUAUGUUGUUUUCAAGCAGAAGCAAUCUUCAGAAACACAGAAGAAGCCACACAGGAGAAAAACCUCAUUGUUGUAAAAAAUGUGGAAAGUCGUUCUUAAGGAGAAGCUCUCUUCGGAGACACAGAACAAUACACACUGGAUUAAAACCUCAUUGUUGUGCAGAAUGUGGCAAGUCGUUCUCAUGUAUAAGCUAUCUUCAGAGGCACAGAAGAAUCCACACAGGAGAAAAACCUCAUUCCUGUCCAGAAUGUGGUAAGUCUUUCUUAAGGAGAAACUCUCUUCAGAGACACAGAAGAAUCCACACAAGAGAAAAACCUGAUUGCUAUCCAGAGUGUGGGAAACGAUUCUCACGUCCAAGUGCCACAGAUGGAUCCACACUGGAGAGAAGCAGUACACCUGUUCUGAAUGUGGUAAAGGGUACUCUUCCAGAAAAAGUUUUUGGAGGCACACGCAAAGUCAUAUUGGAGUAAAGCCUGUCCCAGAAUAGACAAAUAAUCAUUCAUUUUGCUCAUCAACCAAAAAUAUUGAAGACAAAUCUUCUGAAAGAGGUAAAGGACUCCAGUUGAAAGUAGUUAAUAAGUACAUAAGAAUAGUGGAGAAAACACUGAAAGUGGCAAACAGAUCGUAGAUGUAAGGUAACCUCAGAGCCACAUAUGAAUUAACACUGGAAUACAACACAUUUCACAAACAGCAAGAAUCUUCUUCAAUAUCUUACAGGUGCAAGAAAAAUCUCAUUGUUGUCCUAAAUGUGGUUAACACUUUUCAUACAGCAGUGGCCUUCAUAUUCAUAAAUGACUGGCCUACUUGUGGUAAGCCUCUUAGCUGUUCUGAAUGUUGAAAUGGUCCUCCUGUAUCAGCCGUCAUCAGCAACACAUAAGAUUUCAUGAAGGACUCAGAAACUGUACUGCCAGGACGUCAGCCAUACAGGGACUGAUCAUCUCUGCACCAGUGCUGUGACAUAAGAUGCUGAACAAUACAAACAGCAGACCACAG